UUGCCAAAUGAUGAUUACUUUUGUAAUUCUUGAUAGGAAGAGUAUGAAACAUAAUGAGUACUAUAAAAAAAUACUGAUGCGCCAU